UACAGAGGGUGCAAGCGUUGUUCGGAAUCAUUGGGCGUAAAGGGCAGGUAGGUGGUUUAGUAAGUCGACUGUGAAAUCCCUGGGCUCAACCCAGGAACUGCGGUUGAUACUACUGAACUAGAGUGCUAGAGGGGUUCGUGGAAUACUCGGUGUAGCGGUGAAAUGCGUAGAUAUCGAGUGGAAUAUCAGAGGCGAAGGCGACGAACUGGAUAGUAACUGACACUCAACUGCGAAAGCGUGGGUAGCAAACAGG
rnacentral:rRNA from 1 species